UACGUAGGGUGCGAGCGUUAAUCGGAAUUACUGGGCGUAAAGCGUGCGCAGGCGGUUCGUUGUGUCGGCGGUGAAAGCCCCGGGCUCAACCUAGGAACUGCACUCGAACUACCAUUCUUGAGUGUCGGAGAGGAAAGCGGAAUUCCUGGUGUAGAGGUGAAAUUCGUAGAUAUCAGGAGGAACACCAGUGGCGAAGGCGGCUUUCUGGACGAUAACUGACGCUGAGACGCGAAAGCGUGGGGAGCAAACAGG
rnacentral:rRNA from 1 species